AAGUCGUAACAAGGUUUCCGUAGGUGAACCUGCGGAAGGAUCAUUCUCGAUAUAAUAGCGUAAGCUAUCAAUAUUCACAUUGUGCACUGUUACUGCGCCAUUUGGUGGCUGCAAAGCCACCGGGUGAUUUGCGCUUAUUGUUUAUCAUAUAUAUACUUUAAAAACCACAAAUUUAUACAAAAAAAUUUAAAAUUACAACUUUUAGCAAUGGAUCUCUAGGCUCUC
rnacentral:misc_RNA from 1 species